UCCCACUUUACACCACCCUAAUAUAUAUACAGUAGGGUGGGGGAAGAUGGGACAC
rnacentral:miRNA from 1 species